rnacentral:lncRNA from 1 species
UUUGAAUACUUUUUGGUCUAUUAUAUAGACUACAUGAAUAUGAAUCCAAACUCAAUUAAAGAAAAAAAAAAUCAUACAUCAUUUUUUCAAUAUAAAAUCUAGUCAUUUAGAGUAUUCACAGAGUAUUCAAUUCAUAAUGAGCUUUAAUCAAAAGACAGCAGCGAAUGAUAUCAACAUUAUAUAAUGUAAAUGCAUUAAGAUAUCAAAAAUACUUUUAAGUUUAAAAACAAUAAUUGCAGACAUAUUGUGUUUCUUGGUAUUUUUUGUCUGAUUGUUUUUUGAGCAGAUAUAUUUGUCACCAAUGUGAUACAAUACAAUCCCGUUUCUAUGUCAUUAUUAGAUUACUAACAGACGCUAGUCUCUUAUUCUUAGCUAUCUAAUUAAUUUAAAAACAUGCGAUAUUUAUGUUAUUGGACCUGACGCCUGUAGCAAGUUGACAUUUUCAUGAUAUUUCAUUCACUGCUAUGUGUUCGGGGUCUUUUGAGACCAAUUCAGAUCUCAUAUUAUUGUUUCAAACUAGAAUGGAUUACAAUGCAAGUAAAAUGAUGUUUAAAUGCAAAAAAAAUUGCAUGCUAGGAAACGUGUAUAAAAAAUACAUUUAUGUUAACGGUCAACUUAAAGUGCGAAUGAAAACCUCGAAAGUAUGAAAAUCUACUUGUAAGGAAACGUCUAUAUUCGGAAGUUUUGCAAAUGUUUCUAAGGAAUUUAAAGUUGAAUGAAAAUAAACAAAAACGGCUUUCAUUAUAUUAUCAGCUAAUUUUUGAAGUGUGUAUUUAUAAUCCAAUAUUCCUAUGAAAAGGUCGUUCUUGAAAAGUUUACUUUAUCAAACGAAUGAGUUUGACCGUUAAUAGCGUUUGUUACAAUGUUUCCAAGAUCUGAUUGUUUGAUUGAUAAUCUUUGUAGGAACAAGAUAUAAUUAUCUAAUGACAAUGCGAUCAUAAUGUAAUUGAGAUCGUAAACACAGUAAAUUCAUCACUUUUACUCCGACAAUUCAAUUGUUGACCGCCAUUGAUUUUCCGGAAGUGUGUCCGGAAGCGAUUUCUGUCAUUAUGUUCACCUGCAAUGCAUUAGAACAAUUUGUUACAAAGAGCCAUUGAGCUUUUGUGGUUGUAUUGAUCAUCUAAUGUUUAAUUUUUAUGUCUCAAUUUUUUACGUUUACAAACUAUAAAAUCAAUGGAGUUUUCAUUGUUACUGAAAAUUAAAGUAUUUAAAUGUAUAAAA